rnacentral:piRNA from 1 species
UCUCAGCCUGCUACGAACCCCAUCCUCUGC